rnacentral:lncRNA from 1 species
CCAUGGAGGGGGAGCAAGCGUGAGCUGGCACCCAACACCCCUUUCUCCACAUGGAGGGUGGUCACAUGUUCUCCACCUGUUCCCCUAGAUGGUGAGACUUCUGUUGGGCUUGCUUUUCCUGGGCCAGUGUCCAUCAGCCAGGUGCUCAGCCAUCGGUGCGCUGAAGCUCCAGCCCUUCCUGGUGCCCUGAUCUCCUGCACUGAGCUGUGAUGAGUACAUCCGGGUUCCACUGGAUGCAUGUGCGGGAAGGGGGGUGCCCUGGGUUGGGUCAGUGAUGAGAACCUUAUAUUGUCCUGAAGAGAGGUGAUGACUUAAAAAUCAUGCUCAAUAGGAUUACGCUGAGGCCCAGCCUGGGGGAGAAUUUUGGAAAAGGAUGCUGGGAUCCCAGGGUCCCCAACAGGGCCACUGUAUUUUGGACCUGGGACCUGGUGGCUCUGAAGGGCAUCUGGAGGUGGCCCAACCUGUCUCUGCACUCUAGUUUCCCUGUGUGGGCUUGGUGUCGGUGCUCCAGUUCCCUGGGGGCAGGGAAUGUUGAUGGCUCCUUCCUGAGUCCCUGUUCUCGCCUUUGUCUUUCAGUGAGCUCUUUCACCUAGGAGGGCCCCUUGGCAUUGACUGGCAUAGAUGGUGACCCUGAAGAAAGACUUCAGUUGGGCCUGAAGGCCCCGGGCCAGUGUCCAUCAUCCAGGUGCUCAGCUCCCAGUGCACUGAAGCUCAGACCCUUCCUGGUUCCCUGGUCUCUUGCACUGAGCUCUGAUGGUGAGACUUGAGGAAGACUUCCACUGGGCCUGCUUUUCCUGAGCCAGUGCCCAUCACCCAGGUGCUCAGUCCCUGGUGCACUGAAGCUCCAGCCCUUCCUGGCGCCCUGGUCUCCUGAACUGAGCUGUGUGAGCUCUUCUGCCAAGCGGUUCCCCUGGCAUUGACCAACAUAGAUGGUGAGCCUGGAGGAAGACUUGCGUUGGGCCCAAAGGCCCUAGACCAGUGUCUGUCAGCCAGGUUCCCAACCCCCGAUGCGCUGAAGCUCAAGCCUUUCCUGGCACCCUGGUCUCCUGCACUGAGCUGUGUGAGCUCUUCUGCCCAGGCGGGCCCCCUGGAAUUGAUGGGUAUAGAUGGUGACCCCGGAGGAAAAUUUGUGUUGGGCCCACUAUCCCUGGGCCAAUGUCAGUCAGCUAGGCACCCAGCCCCCAGUGCGCUGAAGCUCAGGACCUUCCUAGUGCCCUCGGCUCCUGCACUGAGCUCUGAUGGUAAGCCUGGAGGAAGACUUGUGUUGGGCCCACAGGCCCCAGGCCAAUGUCUGUCAGCCAGGUGCUCAGCCUCUGGUGCGCUGAAACUCUGACCCUUCCUGGCACACUGGUCUCCUGCACUGAGCUGGGAUUUUCCACCUAGGAGGUCCACCUGGCAUUGACUGACAUAGAUGGUGAGACUUCUGUCGGCCUCGCUUUUCCUGGGCCAGUGUCCAUCAGCCAGGUGCUCAGCCCCAGUGCACUGAAGCUCCAGCCCUUCCUGGCGCCCUGGACUGAGCUGUGUGAGCUCUUCUGCCAAGGGGGUCCUCCUGGCAUUGACCAACAUAGGUGGUGAGCCUGGAGGAAGACUUGCAUUGGGCCCAAUGGCCCUGGACCAGUGUCUGUCAGCCAGGUUCCCAGCCCCCGAUGCGCUGAAGCUCAAGCCUUUCCUGGCACCCUGGUCUCCUGCACUGAGCUGUGUGAGCUCUUCGGCCCAAGUGGUCCCCCCGGCCUUAAGCGGCAUAGAUGGUGAGCCUGGAGGAAGACUCGUGUUGGGCCCACAGGCCCCAGGCCAGUGUACGUCAGCCAGGUGCUCAGCCCAUGGUGUGCUGAAGCUCUGACCCUUCCUGACUCCGUGGUCUCCUGCACUGAGCUGUGAUGACCAUAUCCAGUGAGCUCUUCCAAACAGGUGGGCUCCCUAGCAUUGACCGACAGUGAGCUCUGCCACCCAGGACAUCCCCCUGGCAUUGACUGGCAUAGUGAGCUUUUCCACCCAGGUGGGCCCCCUGGCAUUGACCGACAUAGAUGAUGAGACUGGAGGAAGACUUCCAUUGGGCCCACUUUUCCUGGGCCAGUGUCCAUCAGCCAGGUGCUCAGCCCCUGGUGUACUGAAGCUCCAGCCUUUCCUGGUGCCCCAGUCUUCUGCACUAAGCUGUGUGAGCUCUUCCACCCAGGAGGGCCCCUUGGCAUUGACUGGCAUAGAUGGUGAGACGGGAGGAAGACUUGUGUUGGGCCUGCUGUUCCUGGGCCAGUGGCCAUCAGCCUGUUGCCCAGCCCCUGAGGCGCUGAAGCUCAGGCCCUUCCUCACACCCUGGUCUCCUGCACUAGCUGUGUGAGCUCUUCUGCCCAGGUGGGGCCCAUGGCCUUACACGACAUAGGAGCACGCAUUUCUUGAAGUCCUGCAAAGGUGAUGGUGGUCCAGACAGGAGAGGGUUCCUUCAGCCCAACAUAGCGCAGCUCCCAGCUGAAACUCGGAAGGCUGGUCAGGCCUCGAGGACUGCCCAGGCCACAUGAGGGUUUGGUGGCCGGGAGGGCCAAUGAUGCUCUGCGUCUGUGUUGGAUCAGUGUUCUUCAUGGAUUCCAUCACAUGGUGAGCCUUGAGGAAGACUUGUAUUGGGCCCCCACAGGCCCCAGGCCAGUGUCCGUCAGCCUGGUGCUCACCCCCAGUGUGCUGAAGCUCAGACCCUCCGUGGCACCCUGGUCUCCUGCACUGAGCUGUGUGAACUUUUCCUCCCAGAUGGGCCCCCUGGCAUUGACUGGCAUAGAUGGUGAGACCGGAGGAAGACUUGCAUUGGGCCUGUUGUUCCUGGGCCAGUGGCCAUCAGCCUGUUGCCCAGCCCCUGAUGCGCUGAAGCUCGGGCCCUUCCUCGCGCCCUGGUCUCCUGCACUGAGCUGUG